rnacentral:rRNA from 1 species
UACGUAGGAGGCAAGCGUUUGUCCGGAAUUACUGGGCGUAAAGCGCGUGUAGGUGGUGGGGACAAGUCUGCUGUGAAAGCGCCUGGCUUUAACCGGGCGAGGUCGGCGGAAACUGUCCGACUCGAGGACGGUAGAGGGGGGGUGGAAUUCCCGGUGUAGUGGUGAAAUGCGUAGAGAUCGGGAGGAACACCUGUGGCGAAGGCGGCCCCCUGGGCCGGCCCUGACACUGAGACGCGAAGGCGUGGGGGAGCGAACGGGG